AUGUCUCUCGACCUGGAUGAGACGAGGAAAUGUUCUGAGGCCUGGCUGGGUAUAGGACCUCAGCUUUGUGGCCCAGAAUGGGGCUCUCCCUGUGAGCAGCAGGCUGUCAUCAGCUGGGGGUGUAGGCAUGGGAAGGGCCAGCCUGUGAGGACAACCGAGCUUGGGGUGGCUGUGCAGCCUAAUGCAGGGGGUGUUGUGGGCCUGUGCAGUGUGGUCAGGCCUGGGUGCCCCCAGGCAUUAACGUGCACACACACACACACACACACACACACAGGCUUCCUGGGCAGAGCAGCCUUCCAGGGAAUCUAUUUGUCAUGCAAAUUCCCCCCAUCCCCCCCCUCCCCCCCAGCCCCCUUGGCCCUGCCAGCUUUCCUGAGGGGGUUUGAGAGCCCUAUCCUGUGCAGUAUGGGCCCCAGUGGGUCAUGCAGCUCCCUUCCUCACAACGGGUGGCAGCUGAGAGGUCCCACCCCCCACGCCCCCGGCAGAGGGGCCCCAGCUGCAGACCCAGACUGGCUUGGGACUCAACCUCCACUACAGCCUCAGUGCCUAGGCCACUGCCCAGCCCCACUCACAGAAGCCCUGGGGCCACCAGGCUCCCUCCUGGCUUCCUGGAACACCCCUGGGUCAGAGGAGGCAGUCUUUUUCUCUUUCCUUGGCUGCCUCCAGGGUUGUGAGCCAAGAGGUAGGGGUGCUCAGCCCUGUGUCUGCCCCACCCCACAGAGCCAGGGCACAGGCCUGCUUAGGCCCCUCUGCAGCCCACCAGCUCUUGGAGCUGAGCCUGACCAGGCUCUCUUCCCACAGGAUGUGUCUGCCCCCUGCCUGCUCCCUCCCCAUCCAGGCACAGCCCAGGGUGCCUGGUGGGAGCCCAGGGAGGCACAUGAGGUAGACCAGGCAGGCAGGGUUGGCUGCUCAUCGAUGACAUGUGCCCUGGCCCUGCUGCAGCCCUCUCACUGGCCGAGCGCCACAGCCGGCAGUCCAGGACACGGUGUGCAGCCGGAGCAGGGCGUGUGUUUGCUCAGGGUGCCCAACAGCCCGCACACGGCGCCCCGGAGCUGUGGCCUCAGGACAAGGGCCCAUUGUGUCCCCAGCCCCCAUCUCCCCCCCCCCCCCUGCCCCGCCCCUGCCAUCAGGGCCACCCCCCAGCCCCAUCCUCCACUCCCCCACCUCUCCCCCUUCGCCCCAGCCCCACAACCUCAGCCACCCCACCACUCACCCUCUGUUCUCCUGGCCACCUUGCCUCUUGGCCCACGUCCUUGCAGUCCCCACAAUGCCCACUCCCCCUACCCGACCUACUGUCCCCGCCCUCAUCCCCCUAGACCUGUGCUGCCCACUGCCCCUCCACCACACUCCCUGCCCGCGCCCCCUAGCCUGCCCACCCAGCCCGGAUCCCUGCUGCCAGCGCCCCUGACUCCCGGCCGCCCUGUUGGGCCAGGUUUCCCAGAGUCAUGGGAUCGGGAUUUCUGGAGCUGCUCCCCCUCCUCUAUGUGGCCCAGCCUACACAUUCACGCUCAUGCUCCAGGGGCCAGACAAGAUGAACCCAGGGCCAGACACCCUCCCUGCCAACCACCCCAGGUGGACUGA
rnacentral:lncRNA from 1 species